rnacentral:rRNA from 1 species
UACGUAGGGUGCAAGCGUUAAUCGGAAUUACUGGGCGUAAAGCGUGCGCAGGCGGUUUUGUAAGUCUGUCGUGAAAUCCCCGGGCUUAACCUGGGAAUGGCGAUGGAGACUGCAAGGCUAGAGUUUGGCAGAGGGGGGUAGAAUUCCACGUGUAGCAGUGAAAUGCGUAGAGAUGUGGAGGAACACCGAUGGCGAAGGCAGCCCCCUGGGUCAAAACUGACGCUCAUGCCCGAAAGCGUGGGGAGCAAACAGG